rnacentral:lncRNA from 1 species
UGCUGAGAUCUGAAAUGGCAAAUCUUGCACUGGAAAAGCUCAUAAGAAAGGCCAAAAUCUCCACACAUACAACAUUCAGGAUUGAUUGGCUGCGAUGAAGCAAUAUUAAUGGUUGGUGCAGGUUUAGGUGCCGUGGUCAUUUUUCUGGUUUCAGGUUUAGUUUCAUAGGAAGAAGGAAAGAAUUAAAGAAAGAGAGAGAGAGAGAGAAGUGAGAGCGGUGGAGAUGGGUGGAAUGGAAGACACGGACACAAAAACUUUAUAAAAUAGCAGAAAGAAAG